GUGGAGUCAUACAUUGUGCUUAUGUAGGGUUGAAAAAAAAAGUGUUAGAGGCCAGCAUCUAAAUGAAACAGCAUCAUUGUGUCACAAUUGGCUACUGCAUCUCUAGUUUCUGGAAAUGAACAUUUCUGAAUAAAAUAGAAGAGAGCUAUUUUUAGUGGCAAGCUCCCACCUGAGUUCAAAACUAAAACCUACAAUGGAAGGAGAGAACUGGAUACUUACUGGUGGUUGUUCUCUACAUAUAAGUCAUGGAAAGCGUGCACCCACAAAAAAGACACAUACUAGUAAUAAUAAAUAAAAUUUAAAAAAAAUAGAAGGUAAAUAUAUGUAGUCUGACUUGUCACCUGGAAAUCUGAGAUUUGGACUACCACGGUUGAAGAUGUACUAUCACGGUUACAUCACCUGGAAGGUCUAAAAAAAAUGAGAGAGUUCUUGCAAGAAUGCCAUUCUUUGUCAAGGGUAGUUGGUAUAUAAUACUGUCAUCUUGAAUUUAAAUACAGACAAUUAAACCACUGAGCCAUCUCUCUAGCCUCACAUUUUUCUUUUAUAGAGAUAAAUAGAUCUAAUACUGUUCUCUGAAUUGUGGGCAUUACGCUCAUGUGGACAAACAUGCUUUUCAGGGAAAUUAACUGAAAUAAAAUGCAAUAUCCUAGUAAAUUAUAAAAUAAUAAAACCAUUUAUCCAUACUUAUAAAUAAAAAUUUUUCAAUAAAGCAUUAUGUUAUUAAAGUAAAUAAAAAUUCUAUAGCAGAAGCGUAAGGCAAUAAGUAGAAGUCACCUAUCUGUCCCUUUUCUGUUUUCUGCUGUCUGGAUUUUACAGUGAGUGCUUGCUAUAAUCAGUGCCUAAAGCAGACAUUGUUUUCACUUUUUCUGGGUUUUCAGUUUUUCAGUGAAUCCUCUUUCUUUAGUUAAUCUAAUUGUGAAAAAUACUAAGGUUUAAAACUAAACAGUAAACCUUUUUCUUUUAUAGAGGGAAAUAGCUCGGAAACUUGCAAAUCCUAAGCAGCCAACCAACCCUUUUCUAGAGAUGGUCAAAUUUCUUUUGGAAAGAAUUGCUCCUGUGCACAUCGAUUCAGAAGCCAUAAGGUAAGGUAGGAAGUGCAUGGAAAGUGCAUGGGGGUGAGCUUAGGUGCUGGGCCCAUAGAGAUCUGGAAACCAUCUCUUUAAAGCUCUCUUUAUAGCAGCGUGUACCUGCCGUUCUAAUAGAAGGCUAGGCAUUGCAUUAUUAUUUAAGGUUUUAUUUUUUAUUUAUUUUUUUAAAGAGUACCUGCAUUUGGAUUUAUUCUGUAUAUGCUAAUUUGAAAAAUCCGCACAUAGCACUCACUAAUUCUUAAUUCACAUAGAUGCUGAUUUGGACCUAAUUCAGUACGUAGCACCUACCUGGAAGCAUUAGCCACGUCACCUGUGUGAGUCAUUAUUGUGGUUCUGUGAGAAGGCAUGUUCUUCUAGUGUUCAAGGGUCACCCUAAUAGGAUAAUGUUGGCUGGCAAGUUAGAAAAUACAAUUUCUUUUUAGUUGUAGAAACUAAAACUUUCAGUACCAAGAUAUUAACAUUUUUUUCUGAAGUCAUUCUCUUUGUCUUCUAGACAGCUACCAUCUUCUCACUGUGUUUGCACAUGAUCAUUCCCUUGCAUGCCCAGGAUCAAUCUGUUUCCUACUCUUCUUAAGAAAAUAGUGCUCAACCAAGACUAGGCUCCUCCAUCCAUGUGACUUCACCUUACAUAAUCAUUCCUUACUGCCCAAUCUCCAGAUAGAGUCAAGUUCUGAGACACUGGUAGCUGGAAUCUAUGAACUAUUGAGCAAUGGGACAGCUUAUACAUGAGCUCUACUAUUUUUAAGAUUUCGAGAUCCAGUUUUCUACUUUGCAAAUUAAAACAAAAAGAAAACUAAAAAAUGUUGGGUCACAACAUGUUUGUUUAUAGUUAGUUUCAAAAUCGUGGCCAUAUUAUUUCUUGUCAGUAUCCUUUGGUAUGUGCCUUUUACUUUCUGCCUCCCCUACCUUUUGUGCAGCUGUGUGUAUGUGCAGUCAUGAGAGUGCGCGCGCGCACACACACACACACACACACACACGCUGAGGAUUGAAAUCAGAACCUUUCGAAUGCUAAAUGCAUGUUCUUAUCAAUCAGUUCACCCCUACAUCUCUAGCAUCACAUUUAUUGGGUUAAAGAUACAGUGUAGUAGAAAUAGGAACUCUUGAGUGUGCAUAUUAACUUUAGAAGGAAUGUGCUGUAACAGCAUGAUGUCUCACAGGGGUUCAUCCUGUCAGCAAAUUACUAUUGUUUGAUUCCCAGUGUUCAGACUCUGCUGAAAUCUCAUCAUGAGUUAUUUGAUCUCAAAGAAGAACAUCUUGGUUAAUAUUUCUACCCGAGUGUAAUUUUGUAAGAAUGUCAGUGUUUAUUAAUUUUUAUGAGAAAAACAUAUAUGUUGUAUAUCUUUAGUCCCAACAUGUUUAAAGUAGAGGCAAAUGGAUAUUUUAGUUUAUGGCCAUCCUGAUCUACAUAGUGAUAUGCAGGCCAACCUGGGAUACGUGGGGAAAUCCUAUUUCACAAGAAGUAAAAGCCAUAUUCUUUAUAUUUAUCCAGAUAGUUACAAACUACUAUAUUAUUAUAAAUAAAGGUUUUUUUUUAACUUAGUGGCUUUGUGGAAAGUACAUUGUGUACUUAGUAAAGAAUAAGUUAUAUAACUUGAACUGUGUGUGGGUGUAUUGUUAUAGAAGACUUCAAAAAUAAGUUAUGUAUCUGAUGAGUGUUAAAAGGAAGUAGAAAUUACUGGGGUUAGCUGAGUGAGGACUACUGGGGAUAACGUCCAGGUUCCUAGCCUCGAAUCUGGGUUGCUUAGGGACUGUGAGCUUCAGUAUACCACUCUCUAAAAUUACAGUAAUGAUAAUUAUCACAUAUUAAAAUUAUUGAAAUUUAUAUGUAUGUAAAUAUCCAUAUUAAAUAAUACAUAAAACAUAUAAUCUAACACAAUUUACCAUGUGUCAUAUAUAUAACAUGCUGAUUGAUAUUUAUAGUUGUUUUAGGUGG
rnacentral:lncRNA from 1 species